rnacentral:rRNA from 1 species
CCUACGGGUGGCUGCAGUGGGGAAUAUUGGACAAUGGGCGAAAGCCUGAUCCAGCCAUGCCGCGUGUGUGAAGAAGGCCUUCGGGUUGUAAAGCACUUUCAGUGGGGAAGAAAGCCUUGGGGCUAAUACCCUCGAGGAAGGACAUCACCCACAGAAGAAGCACCGGCUAACUCCGUGCCAGCAGCCGCGGUAAUACGGAGGGUGCGAGCGUUAAUCGGAAUUACUGGGCGUAGAGCGCGCGUAGGCGGUCUGAUAAGCCGGUUGUGAAAGCCCCGGGCUCAACCUGGGAACGGCAUCCGGAACUGUCAGGCUAGAGUGCAGGAGAGGAAGGUAGAAUUCCCGGUGUAGCGGUGAAAUGCGUAGAGAUCGGGAGGAAUACCAGUGGCGAAGGCGGCCUUCUGGACUGACACUGACGCUGAGGUGCGAAAGCGUGGGUAGCAAACAGGAUUAGAUACCCCAGUAGUC